CACGGAGUUAGCCGGUGCUUAUUCUUCUGGUACCUUCAGCUACUUACACGUAAGUAGGUUUAUCCCCAGAUAAAAGCAGUUUACAACCCAUAGGGCCGUCUUCCUGCACGCGGGAUGGCUGGAUCAGGCUUCCACCCAUUGUCCAAUAUUCCUCACUGCUGCCUCCCGUAGGAGUCUGGUCCGUGUCUCAGUACCAGUGUGGGGGAUCACCCUCUCAGGCCCCCUAAAGAUCGUCGCCUUGGUGAGCCGUUACCUCACCAACUAGCUAAUCUUGCGCGUGCCCAUCUCUAUCCACCGUAGUUUUCAAUAUCACCCGAUGCCGAAUAAUAUAUUAUGGGGUAUUAAUCUUCCUUUCGAAAGGCUAUCCCCCUGAUAAAGGCAGGUUGCACACGUGUUCCGCACCCGUACGCCGCUCUCAAUUACCCGAAAGUAAUCUACCGCUCGGCUUGCAUGUGUUAGGCCUCCCGCUAGCGUUCAUCCUGAGCCAGGAUCAAACUCU
rnacentral:rRNA from 1 species